CCUACGGGUGGCUGCAGUGGGGAAUAUUGGACAAUGGGGGGAACCCUGAUCCAGCCAUGCCGCGUGUGUGAAGAAGGCCCUCGGGUUGUAAAGCACUUUCAGUGAGGAAGAACGCCUGGUGGUUAAUACCCAUCAGGAAAGACAUCACUCACAGAAGAAGCACCGGCUAACUCCGUGCCAGCAGCCGCGGUAAUACGGAGGGUGCGAGCGUUAAUCGGAAUUACUGGGCGUAAAGCGCGCGUAGGUGGCUUGAUAAGCCGGUUGUGAAAGCCCCGGGCUCAACCUGGGAACGGCAUCCGGAACUGUCAAGCUAGAGUGCAGGAGAGGAAGGUAGAAUUCCCGGUGUAGCGGUGAAAUGCGUAGAGAUCGGGAGGAAUACCAGUGGCGAAGGCGGCCUUCUGGACUGACACUGACACUGAGGUGCGAAAGCGUGGGUAGCAAACAGGAUUAGAAUACCCUAGUAGUC
rnacentral:rRNA from 1 species